rnacentral:rRNA from 1 species
GAUGAACGCUGGCGGCGUGCCUAAUACAUGCAAGUCGAGCGAACAGACGAGGAGCUUGCUCCUCUGACGUUAGCGGCGGACGGGUGAGUAACACGUGGAUAACCUACCUAUAAGACUGGGAUAACUUCGGGAAACCGGAGCUAAUACCGGAUAAUAUAUUGAACCGCAUGGUUCAAUAGUGAAAGACGGCUUUGCUGUCACUUAUAGAUGGAUCUGCGCCGCAUUAGCUAGUUGGUAAGGUAACGGCUUACCAAGGCGACGAUGCGUAGCCGACCUGAGAGGGGGAUAGGCCACCCGGGAACUGAGACGCGGUCCAGACGCCUACGAGAGGCAGCAGUAGGGUAUCUUCCGCAAUGGGCGAAAGCCUGACGGAGCAGCGCGGCGUGAGAGAUGAAGAUCUUCGGAUCGUGAAACUCUGUUAUUAGGGAUGAACAAAUGUGUAAGUAACUAUGCACGUCUUGACGGUACCUAAUCAGAAAGCCACGGCUAACUACGUG